UACGUAGGGCGCAAGCGUUGUCCGGAAUUAUUGGGCGUAAAGAGCUCGUAAGCGGCCUGUUACGUCUGCUGUGAAAUCCCGGGGCUUAACCCCGGGCGUGCAGUGGAUACGGGCAGGCUGGAGGCAGGCAGGGGAGAACGGAAUUCCCGGUGUAGCGGUGAAAUGCGCAGAUAUCGGGAGGAACACCGGUGGCGAAGGCGGUUCUCUGGGCCUGUACUGACGCUGAGGAGCGAAAGCGUGGGGAGCGAACGGG
rnacentral:rRNA from 1 species